AGUGAACGCUGGCGGUAGGCCUAACACAUGCAAGUCGAACGGCAGCACAGUAAGAGCUUGCUCUUACGGGUGGCGAGUGGCGGACGGGUGAGGAAUACAUCGGAAUCUACUUUUUCGUGGGGGAUAACGUAGGGAAACUUACGCUAAUACCGCAUACGACCUACGGGUGAAAGCAGGGGAUCUUCGGACCUUGCGCGAUUGAAUGAGCCGAUGUCGGAUUAGCUAGUUGGCGGGGUAAAGGCCCACCAAGGCGACGAUCCGUAGCUGGUCUGAGAGGAUGAUCAGACACACUAGAAAGGAACCAGGGUCCACACUCCAACGGGAGACAGCGGUGGGGAAUUUGGAACAAGGGGCGAAAGUCUAGCCCACCCAAACCGGGUGAGUGAAGAAGGCCUUAGGAUUGAAAACCCCUUUUGUGGGGAAAGAAAACAAACAGGUGAAUACCCGCUUGUUCUGCGGUUCCCAAAAAAAAAACCCCCGGCUCCCUUCGUC
rnacentral:rRNA from 1 species